AUAUCUCGCCGUACGGGAAGGAUGAGAAGCUUCGAUUAAGGUUCGAUUCGAGCGCAGCGUGAAAGCGUUGCCGCAGGCAACGACCCGAAGGGCGAAACCCGCAGCGCUGAGUCAUCCUUCCCCCACCACCA
rnacentral:sRNA from 1 species